rnacentral:rRNA from 1 species
ACGUAGGGGGCCAGCGUUGCUCGGAAUUACUGGGCGUAAAGGGUUCGUAGGCGGUGUGGCAAGUCGGAUGUGAAAUCUCCCUGGCUUAACCGGGAGAGUGCAUUUGAGACUGUCGACCUGGAGGGCAGCAGAGGAGUGUGGAAUUCCGGGUGGAGUGGUGAAAUGCGUAGAGAUCCGGAAGAACACCAGAGGCGAAAGCGGCGCUCUGGGCUGCACCUGACGCUGAACUGCGAAAGCCAGGGGAGCGAACGGGA